rnacentral:rRNA from 1 species
UACGUAGGAUGCAAGCGUUUGUCCGGAAUUAUUGGGCGUAAAGAGCGCGCAGGCGGUCUAUCAAGUCAGAUGUGAAAUAUCCCGGCUUAACCGGGAGGGGUCAUUUGAAACUGGUAGACUAGAGUACAGCAGAGGAUAGCGGAAUUCCCGGUGUAGUGGUGAAAUGCGUAGAUAUCGGGAGGAACACCAGUGGCGAAGGCGGCUAUCUGGGCUGAAACUGACGCUGAGGCGCGAAGGCUAGGGGAGCAAACAGG